CACGGAGUUAGCCGGUGCUUAUUCGUAUAGUACCUUCAGCUAGAUACACGUAUCUAGGUUUAUCCCUAUACAAAAGAAGUUUACAAUCCAUAGGACCGUCAUCCUUCACGCGGGAUGGCUGGAUCAGGCUUUCACCCAUUGUCCAAUAUUCCUCACUGCUGCCUCCCGUAGGAGUCUGGUCCGUGUCUCAGUACCAGUGUGGGGGAUCUCCCUCUCAGGACCCCUAAAGAUCAUUGACUUGGUGAGCCGUUACCUCACCAACUAUCCAAUCUUGCGCGUGCCCAUCUCUAUCCACCGGAGUUCUCAAUAUCAAAUGAUGCCAUCUAAUAUAUUAUGGGGUAUUAAUCUCCCUUUCGAAAGGCUAUUCCCCAGAUAAAGGUAAGUUGCACACGUGUUACGCACCCGUACGCCGCUCUCUAGUUUCCGAAGAAACUAUACCGCUCGGCUUGCAUGUGUUAGGCCUCCCGCUAGCGUUCAUCCUGAGCCAGGAUCAAACUCU
rnacentral:rRNA from 1 species